rnacentral:rRNA from 1 species
GACGUAGGGGGCCAGCGUUGUUCGGAAUUACUGGGUGUAAAGGGUUCGUAGGCGGUGUGGCAAGUCGGGAGUGAAAUCUCUGGGCUCAACCCAGAGUCUGCUUCCGAAACUGCUGUGCUUGAGUACUUAAGAGGAUCGCGGAAUUCCCGGUGUAGAGGUGAAAUUCGUAGAUAUCGGGAGGAACACCAGUGGCGAAGGCGGCGAUCUGGGAAGAUACUGACGCUGAGGUGCGAAAGCGUGGGGAGCAAACAGG